GUGUCAUGUUUGCCUUUCACUUUGCAUUUAGGUGUAAAAAUUUUGAUGGGUUUUGGGUUUUUCACAAUUUGAUAGCCUUGGAAUAUGAAAUUAAGUGUAGGAGGCACAAGAACUCGUUAGAGAUGAUGCCGAUGUUCUUCGUGUUCUGGAGCUGGUGGGCGGUGAUGGAUAUAUAAUUCCUUAAUUUAAAAGUGAACUAAUUUGCUCCCCUAAUUUAAAAAAUUAUAUCAAUUAAACACAAUUUUAUUUAGUCAGCUGUGAUAUGGAUAACACAUCAGAUGGGUUUUUGCUGCGUGCACAUUCGUGCAUUCCCUCUCCUCUUUGCAUGUGUUAAAAUGGUUUAAAAAAUGAAAGUUUGAAUAGUCAAUCUGUCAAUUUUUUUAAACUGAGGGGGCAAAUUGGUUCAUUUAUAAAUUAAGGGGGCAAAUUGACUUUUAAGUGAAAGUUCAAAAGGUGGGAUAUGCUUUUGCCCUAGUUUUUCUAGUCAACACUUAUUUUCCAGUAAUCUACUAUUAGUAGUAUUCUAGAAAUUAAUGGAUGCUCAACAAA
rnacentral:misc_RNA from 1 species